rnacentral:rRNA from 1 species
GUGACGAAGCGACGCCGCGUGUGGGAAGAAGGCUCUAGGGUUGUAAACCACUGUCAGGAGUUAAGAAAUGUAAAGGUGUUAAUAGCGCCUUUAUUUGACGAAGGCUCCAGAGGAAGCCACGGCUAACUCUGUGCCAGCAGCCGCGGUAAUACAGAGGUGGCAAGCGUUGUUCGGAAUUAUUGGGCGUAAAGAGCACGUAGGCGGUUCUGCAAGUCAGUUGUGAAAUCCUUCCGCUUAACGGGAGAACGGCAGCUGAUACUACAGGACUAGAGUACGGGAGGGGAGAGUGGAACUUCUGGUGGAGCGGUGAAAUGCGUAGAUAUCAGAAGGAACGCCGGCGGCGAAAGCGACUCUCUGGCCCGAAACUGACGCUGAGUGUGCGAAAGCUAGGGGAGCAAACGGGAUUAGAUACCCCGGUAGUCCUGGCCGUAAACGAU